rnacentral:misc_RNA from 1 species
GAUGAAAGAACGCAGCGAAAUGCGAUAAGUAGUGUGAAUUGCAGAAUUCAGUGAAUCAUCGAAUCUUUGAACGCACAUUGCGCCCCUUGGUAUUCCAUGGGGCAUGCCUGUUCGAGCGUCAUUUGUACCUUCAAGCUCUGCUUGGUGUUGGGUGUUUGUCUCGCCUCUGCGUGUAGACUCGCCUCAAAACAAUUGGCAGCCGGCGUAUUGAUUUCGGAGCGCAGUACAUCUCGCGCUUUGCACUCAUAACGACGACGUCCAAAAGUACAUUUUUACACUCUUGACCUCGGAUCAGGUAGGGAUACCCGCUGAACUUAAGCAUAUCAAUAAGCGGAGGA